rnacentral:rRNA from 1 species
GCAGUGGGGAAUAUUGCACAAUGGGCGCAAGCGUGAUGCAGCCCAAGACCGGCGUGUAUGAAGAAGGCGUUACGGGUUGUAAGAGUGCUUUACAGGUCGGGGAGGAACGUACUAUAUUAUUAAUAAGCGCAUGACGGACACGUCGAGUAAUAUCGGGCGCCACAGACUCCAGCCCGCGUCC